GAGCCCGCACAAGCAGUGGAGUAUGUGGUUUAAUUCGAAGCAACGCGAAGAACCUUACCAGAGCUUGACAUCCACAGGAGGCCGAGUAAGAUUGGCUGUGCCCUUCGGGGAACUGUGAGACAGGUGGUGCAUGGUUGUCGUCAGCUCGUGUCGUGAGAUGUUGGGUUAAGUCCCGCAACGAGCGCAACCCUUACUGUUAGUUGCUACGGAAGAGCACUCUAACAGGACUGCCGUUGACAAAACGGAGGAAGGUGGGGAUGACGUCAAAUCAUCAUGCCCCUUACGCCCUGGGCUACACACGUACUACAAUGGCGCAAACAGAGGGGAGCAAAACCGCGAGGUGGAGCAAAUCCCAAAAAUGCGUCCCAGUUCAGAUUGCAGGCUGCAACCCGCCUGCAUGAAGUCGGAAUUGCUAGUAAUCGCGAAUCAGCAUGUCGCGGUGAAUACGUUCCCGGGCUUU
rnacentral:rRNA from 1 species